rnacentral:rRNA from 1 species
CCAGAGAACUUAGCAGAGAUGCUUUGGUGCCUUCGGGAACUCUGAGGACAGGUGCUGCAUGGCUGUCGUCAGCUCGUGUUGUGAAAUGUUGGGUUAAGUCCCGCAACGAGCGCAACCCUUAUCCUUUGUUGCCAGCGAUUCGGUCGGGAACUCAAAGGAGACUGCCGGUGAUAAACCGGAGGAAGGUGGGGAUGACGUCAAGUCAUCAUGGCCCUUACGGCCAGGGCUACACACGUGCUACAAUGGCGCAUACAAAGAGAAGCGACCUCGCGAGAGCAAGCGGACCUCAUAAAGUGCGUCGUAGUCCGGAUUGGAGUCUGCAACUCGACUCCAUGAAGUCGGAAUCGCUAGUAAUCGUAGAUCAGAAUGCUACGGUGAAUACGUUCCCGGGCCUUGUACACACCGCCCGUCACACCAUGGGAGUGGGUUGCAAAAGAAGUAGGUAGCUUAACCUUCGGGAGGGCGCUUACCACUUUGUGAUUCAUGACUGGGGUGAAGUCGUAACAAGGUAAGCGUAGUGCU